GGAGUCUGGACCGUGUCUCAGUUCCAAUGUGGCCGAUCACCCUCUCAGGUCGGCUACCGAUCGUCGCUUUGGUGGGCCGUUACCUCACCAACUGGCUAAUCGGACGCGAGCCCAUCUUCAACCGGAUUGCUCCUUUGACCUCUGUGCCAUGUGACACCGUGGUCUUACGCGGUAUUAGCACAUCUUUCGAUGCGUUAUCCCCUCUUGUAGGACGCGUGGU
rnacentral:rRNA from 1 species